rnacentral:rRNA from 1 species
UGGCGACCGGCGCACGGGUGAGUAACGCGUAUGCAACCUGCCCGAUACCGGGGUAUAGCCCAUGGAAACGUGGAUUAACACCCCAUAGUACUUUUAUCCUGCAUGGGAUGUGAGUUAAAUGUUCAAGGUAUCGGAUGGGCAUGCGUCCUAUUAGUUAGUUGGCGGGGUAACAGCCCACCAAGACGAUGAUAGGUAGGGGUUCUGAGAAGAAGGUCCCCCACAUUGGAACUGAGACACGGUCCAA